rnacentral:tRNA from 1 species
GCUUUUAAUGGUAAAUAGUUUUUCCGUUGGUUUUAGGAGCCAAAGUUUCUUGGUGCAACUCCAAGUAAAAGCU